rnacentral:rRNA from 1 species
GAUAAACGCUGGCGGCGUGCUUAACACAUGCAAGUCGAACGAAGUUUUUCCUUCGGGAGAAACUUAGUGGCGGACGGGUGAGUAACGCGUGGGUAACCUGCCCUGUACAGGGGGACAACAGCUGUAAACGGCUGCUAAUACCGCAUAAGCCCUUAGCACUGCAUGGUGCAUAGGGAAAAGGAGCAAUCCGGUACAGGAUGGACCCGCGUCUGCUUAGCCAGUUGGCAGGGUAACGGCCUACCAAAGCGACGAUCAGUAGCCGAUCUGAGAGGAUGUACGGCCACAUUGGGACUGAGACACGGCCCAGACUCCUACGGGAGGCAGCAGUGGGGAAUAUUGCACAAUGGAGGAAACUCUGAUGCAGCGACGCCGCGUGAGUGAAGAAGUAUUUCGGUAUGUAAAGCUCUAUCAGCGGGGAAGAAAAUGACGGUACCUGACUAAGAAGCACCGGCUAAAUACGUG